UACCGCAUAAGAGUAGAUGUCGCAUGACAUUUGCUUAAAAAGGUGCAAUUGCAUCACUACCAGAUGGACCUGCGUUGUAUUAGCUAGUUGGUGGGGUAACGGCUCACCAAGGCAACGAUACAUAGCCGACCUGAGAGGGUGAUCGGCCACACUGGGACUGAGACACGGCCCAGACUCCUACGGGAGGCAGCAGUAGGGAAUCUUCGGCAAUGGACGGAAGUCUGACCGAGCAACGCCGCGUGAGUGAAGAAGGUUUUCGGAUCGUAAAGCUCUGUUGUAAGAGAAGAACGAGUGUGAGAGUGGAAAGUUCACACUGUGACG
rnacentral:rRNA from 1 species